UGAGGAAUAUGAGGAUUAAUCUCUUUUCCAUCUUCGUCCAACUCAGCCGGAGCAAGACCAGCCUUUCUUGCUUCUUCCAAUUCCAACUGUUUCCUGUGAUCCUCCCUAGAUUUAAAUGCCCCUGAUGCGGUAGCCAUAAUUACUUCUGUAAACCAAAAUUGAGAGGAAAAAUAUUUGGAUUGACGAAACCCUAGAAAUAUAAUACUCUCCGGCCCUUUUGUCAUCUGCAGAAUCUGUAUUCUCCUCCACCCUAUCUCUUUUCCUCCCACAACUCUCA
rnacentral:misc_RNA from 1 species